CCCUCCGCAGUGACCUCCGGCUGCGGCCGGGAGCGGCGCGGGGCCCGGCGGGUGUCGGAGCCCGCGUUAGAGGAACGGCGGCGGAACGGGAGCCCGAAUGCAACCCCCGCGUCCGGAGGAAGGGAAGGAGCAGCCACGUGUCGCCCGAACGCUGAAGCGGUGCGCGGAGGUUCCUUCCUCGGAAUGCGUGGGGAGACCCGGGCGUGGGUAAACCGAGCCGAGCCGCUCCGGGAAACGGGAUCCCUCGUGGCUGCGAUUCGCUGAAAUAUUUCUCCCCGCGACCUCGGCGGCUGCGUCUCUCCGAGGGGAAGGGAAAAGCGCAGCUUCGAAACGCUGCCCCGUUCAUUUCUGCCCUUUCCCGGCGGCCCCGACCCGAAGGAACGCCGCGCUCAGAUGCCUUUCAGAAUGACCGGGAAGCACAAGGACAGAAAAACGCGUUUUGUGCAUCAGCCGCGCUGCUUUGCGCUCUCACACUCCCUCUAUUUAUCUGCGCGCAAAAGCCGCGCAGCGCAGCGCUCUCCUGCAGCUCGCUGCCCCACCGACACCUCUCCCUGCACCGAAACACGCUCAGCAGACGCUGCCAUUCUUAUUUCUAGCAGAAGCUCUGGCUCUCCCAGCCCUGUAAACACGCGGUAUAAAUCGGCCCUUUCGGAUUUUCCCCCCAAACCGUUCCCAGCCCCAGGAAUUCCUCCGAAUUCGUUACGCUGCUCGAGGCCGCGCUUUGCAGGGCCGGGGAAAGGUAACAUCGCCCGUCUGAAAAUAACGAGUCACGAAAAGAAAAGCGACGUUCACGUGUGAAUAUCGAACUUCAACCGUAUUGUCACCGCCGCCGUAAAAGAAACGCAGCAGCUUGCUUUAUUCCAGGAGAGCGCGGCCAUUAAAGAGAACUUGAGGAACCCUAA